UACGUAGGGGGCUAGCGUUGUCCGGAAUCACUGGGCGUAAAGGGCGCGUAGGCGGCCUGGUAAGUAGGGGGUGAAAUCUUGCGGCUCAACUGCAAGGCUGCCUCCUAAACUGUCAGGCUUGAGCACAGUAGAGGCAGGUGGAAUUCCCGGUGUAGCGGUGGAAUGCGUAGAGAUCGGGAAGAACAUCGGUGGCGAAGGCAGCCAUCUGGACCGACACUGACGCUGAGGCGCGAAAGCGUGGGGAGCAAACAGG
rnacentral:rRNA from 1 species